GGCGCGCGCUGCAGCGUGCGCUGCCACAGAGGGGCCGCGCCCAGGACUCAGCCCGGCGCCGCGGGAGCGCGCCACCUCGUCCGUCUCCUGCCCCGCGGGAGCGCGCCCGCGCCCCCGCCCCCGCCUGGCCCGCGAGGAUGCGCCCGGGAGCGAGACGGGGCCGCUGGACUUCGCUGCCCCAGCCCGCGGCCCCGUGCCGCCUCCGGCCCGCAGGAGCUGUGGUUGAGAUGGAAGGCUGAGGAGCUAAACCUUAUGUUGGCGGUCUACGUAUGGACACUAAGGCUUGAGUGAACACGCAAUGAAAAUGCUUCCUGGUGUGGGCGUUUUUGGGACUGGCAGCACUGCCCGGGUACUGGUGCCUUUGUUGAGAGCAGAGGGUUUCUCCAUCGAAGCACUUUGGGGAAAGACUGAAGAGGAAGCAAAGCGGCUAGCAGAGGAAAUGAACAUUGAAUUCUACACCAGUCAGACUGAUGAUGUCUUGCUGCACCAGGAUGUAGAUUUGGUUUGCAUCAACAUCCCUCCACCACUAACCCGGCAAAUUGCUGUGAAAGCUCUAGGUAUUGGGAAGAAUGUGAUCUGUGAGAAAUCUGCUACCUCUGUGGAUGCCUUCAGAAUGGUUACAGCUGCCAGAUAUUACCCCAAGCUGAUGAGCAUUGUUGGUAAUGUCCUCCGUUUCUUACCUGCCUUUGUCAAAAUGAAGCAGUUAAUAGAAGAACACUACAUAGGCAAUGUGAUGAUCUGUGAUGUGCGAGUGUACUGGGGAAGCCUGCUCAACCACAAGUACAACUGGAUCUGUGAUGAGUUAAUGGGAGGAGGUGGACUGCACACAAUGGGCACCUAUAUUAUAGACCUCUUAACUCAUCUAACCAGCAGGAAGGCAGAGAAGGUCCAUGGCUUGCUUAAGACUUUUGUGAAGCAGAACGCAGCUAUCAGUGGAAUCCGUCAUGUCACUAGUGAUGACUUUUGCUUUUUUCAGAUGCUUAUGACUGGAGGUGUCUGUAGCACUGUGACUCUCAACUUUAACAUGCCUGGGUCAUUUGUUCACGAAGUCAUGAUUGUUGGGUCCACAGGUCGUCUUAUCGCUCGUGGGACAGACUUGUAUGGGCAGAAGAAUACAGCACUCCAAGAGGAACUACUGCUUACAGAUUCUCUGACCAUCAACACUGGCCUUCUGGACAAGGGAUUUAAAGACAUCCCCUUGCUGUACCUGAAAGGAAUGGUGUACAUGGUGCAAGCAUUGAGACUGUCUUUCCAAGACCAGGAAGACCGUCGGACAUGGGAUCACAAACCAGUCUCCAUGGCAGCCUCUUUUGAAGAUGGUCUCUAUAUGCAAAGUGUAGUAGAUGCCAUUAAAAAAUCCAGCAGGUCUGGGGAGUGGGAAGCUGUGGAAGUGAUGACUGAGGAACCAGAUGCCAAUCAAAACCUUUGUGAGGCACUUCAAAGAAAUAACCUAUAAAAUAUAAACAUUCCUGGUGUCCAUUAUGGAAGAUGAGAACAGUUGAAGAUGUCCAGACGUAGCUAUAGAAGUUUCUCAGUUUUUAGGACAUGGUAAGCUGAAAGAACUCAACCAUAUGUCAAGCAGGCUGCUUCAACCUGUCUGUUCCCCUCCAUUCAAGCUUAGCCAAAAGUCCAGUGCGGAGAUAGGAAGAGGAAAGAAAAGGGGCUAUGGGUGAGGGGAGAGAAGAGAUUAUCUAAUACCUAAUGUGCUUUUAUUUUAUUUAUGUCUCAACAUUAUUUUAGAAGCUGAUAUUUUGUUACAAAAGAAAUACUGUAUGUUGCAGGGGAAUAGGAAAACUAAAGAAUGCCAUUGUUUCCAGGAAAGUCUGACACAUUCUGUAACAGGAAAUAUAUUGUGACCAGGUACUGCCUAAAAUUAAUUACAAGUACAGAAAUAGUUAAAACUACAAUGAGCCUCUUUAAAUGACAGGGGGGGUUUUGACCUGUGGUUAGGUUUGGUAGAAUUUGGUUUUUAAUUUUUUGAUAAUUUCUACAGUAUUUUUAAAGAAUUCUGUCCAUUUCUAUCAGACAGUGGGGAGGUGGGUCAGAUAAUUAUUGAACAGCUAUAGAUACUGAGAUUCAAAAACACAAAUUGUCAAUAUCACAUGUCAAAAUAUACAAAGUAAAUAACCUGAAAUCAAACUUGAAUAAGUUCUCAAGCAGUAUUUUUCUGACUUUGCCUAUCUGUAAAUUUCAAUUAUAUCAAUGGAAAUAUUUUUUGUCGGUUUCCAUGUAAAGUAAAAUCAAUGUUUGAUGUUCGCCACCUAAAGAUCUAAUCAUAACAGGCGUACCUUUGGUACCGUAUUGCUAUGCAGAGCAAUAGGUUUCUAAGGGCUGUGUUAGCCAGCCUAGUAAAGCUUUAUCAUAUUUAAAACCAUCCUAGUUGUGAAGUUUUACCCUUUAGUUCUGGCUGUGUGCGGUAUAGCCAAGUUUCAUAACUCCACUCCAGUUGAUUCCGAAUAUGUACCCUAUAGCAAUGAACUACAGAAUGACUAAGUUGUCUUUUAAGUCCUGGGUAUUGCUGUUAUACAGUGACCUCUACUGGAGGGAAGGGAGAGGAUGUUUACAGGUUUUAAAACAGGUUAUCCUUAUUGGUGGUGGUUUGAACACUUCUCAUUCAGAUUUGGAGUUGGCAGCUGUCUCUCUGGCAGAGUUUCACCAGCUCUGAGUUUGGCACCUGUCAGGGUUCCUUCCCCACUCUGAACUCUAGGGUACGGAUGUGGGGACCUGCAUGAAAGACCCCCCUAAGCUGAUUCUUACCAGCUUUGGUUAAAAACUUCCCCAAGGUACGAACUUUGCCUUCGCCUUGAACAGUAUGCUGCCACCACCAAGCGUUUUAAGGCCAUCUGUCUAUCAUGCUCUUUUUGCUUCUCUUCAGCUUUGAUUCUGGCUUGCUCUAGUUUAUUAGCUGCUUCACUGGUAGUCAUUUUCCUGCUUUCUUGUGCUUAACUCUAGCUAUACCUGAAAGUUCAGGGGAGGGAGACUUGUGAAUUUCCCUGCAGGAAGUUAACUACCCUGCCUUUAGAUAGAGAAAACUCCAGCUCAAAAAAGAAAAAUCCCUUUGUAAAAAAACUAACACCUCUGUCUCCAGGCAAAUAGAAAACCCUCUAGCUGCUCUCAACUUAAAAAAAAAAAACCUCUUCAGGUCUGUGCUUUUGGUUCAGAAUGAUCUCUGGUUCAAAGUGAUCCCACUGCUCUGCCACCAUGUCAGGGUUCCUUCCCCACUCUGAACUCUAGGGUACGGAUGUGGGGACCCUAGAGUUGCGAAGGCAAAGUUCGUACCUUGGGGAUAGGAUACAGAAGGACCUAGACAAAUUGGAGGAUUGGGCCAAAAGAAAUCUGAUGAGGUUCAAUAAGGAUAAGUGCAGGGUCCUGCACUUAGGACGGAAGAACCCAAUGCACCGCUACAGACUAGGGGCCGAAUGGCUAGGCAGCAGUUCUGCGGAAAAGGACCUAGGGGUGACAGUGGAUGAGAAGUUGGAUAUGAGUCAGCAAUGUGCCCUUGUUGCCAAGAAGGCCAAUGGCAUUUUGGGAUGUAUAAGUAGGGGCAUAGCGAGCAGAUCGAGGGACGUGAUCGUUCCCCUCUAUUCGACAUUGGUGAGGCCUCAUCUGGAGUACUGUGUCCAGUUUUGGGCCCCACACUACAAGAAGGAUGUGGAUAAAUUGGAGAGAGUCCAGCGAAGGGCAACAAAAAUGAUUAGGGGUCUGGAACACAUGACUUAUGAGGAGAGGCUGAGGGAACUGGGAUUGUUUAGUCUGCAGAAGAGAAGAAUGAGGGGGGAUUUGAUAGCUGCUUUCAACUACCUGAAAGGGGGUUCCAAAGAGGAUGACUCUAGACUGUUCUCAAUGGUAGCAGAUGACAGAACGAGGAGUAAUGGUCUCAAGUUGCAGUGGGGGAGGUUUAGAUUGGAUAUUAGGAAAAACUUUUUCACUAAGAGGGUGGUGAAACACUGGAAUGCAUUACCUAGGGAGGUGGUAGAAUCUCCUUCCUUAGAGGUUUUUAAGGUCAGGCUUGACAAAGCCCUGGCUGGGAUGAUUUAACUGGGAUUUGGUCCUGCUUCGAGCAGGGGGUUGGACUAGAUGACCUUCUGGGGUCCCUUCCAACCCUUAUAUUCUAUGAUUCUAUGACCCGCAUGAAAGACCCCCUAAGCUUAUUCUUACCAGCUUCGGUUAAAAACUUCCCCAAGGUACAAACUUUGCCUUGUCCUUGAACAGUACGCUGCCACCACCAAGCGAAACAAAGAACAGGGAAAGAGCCCACUUGGAGACGUCUUUCCCCAAAAUAUCUCCCCAAGCCUUACACACCCCCUUUCCUGGGGAAGGCUUGAUAAUAAUCCUCACCAAUUUGUACAGGUGAACACAGACCCAAACCCUUGGAUCUUAAGAACAAUGAAAAAUCAAUCAGGUUCUUAAAAGAAGAAUUUUAAUUAAAGAAAAGGUAAAAGAAUCACCUCUGUAAAAUCAGGAUGGAAAAUACUUUACAGGGUAUUCAGAUUCAAAACACAGAGGAUCCCCCUCUGGGCAAAACCUUAAAGUUACAGAAAACAGGAAUAAACCUCCCUCUUAACAUAGGGAAAAUUCACGUAAAACAAAAGAUAAACUAAUCCGCUUUGCCUGUCUUACCUCUACUGGUUGCAAUAUUGGAGACUUGGCUUAGGAUGGGUUGGAGAAGAUGGAUUUCUGUCUGGCCUCUCUGUCCCAAGAGAGAACAAACACGUAAACAAAGAGCACAAACAAAAGCCUUCCCUCCCCCAC